rnacentral:rRNA from 1 species
GACGAACGCUGGCGGCGUGCCUAAUACAUGCAAGUUGAACGCUUCUUUCUUAUCGAACUUCGGUUCACCAAGAAAGAGGAGUAGCGAACGGGUGAGUAACACGUGGGUAACCUGCCCAUCAGCGGGGGAUAACACUUGGAAACAGGUGCUAAUACCGCAUAAUGCUUUUUCUCACAUGAGAGAAAGCUGAAAGGCGCUUUUGCGUCACUGAUGGAUGGACCCGCGGUGCAUUAGCUAGUUGGUAGGGUAACGGCCUACCAAGGCAACGAUGCAUAGCCGACCUGAGAGGGUGAUCGGCCACACUGGGACUGAGACACGGCCCAGACUCCUACGGGAGGCAGCAGUAGGGAAUCUUCGGCAAUGGACGAAAGUCUGACCGAGCAACGCCGCGUGAGUGAAGAAGGUUUUCGGAUCGUAAAACUCUGUUGUUAGAGAAGAACAAGGAUGAGAAGAGAAUGUCAUCCCUUG